rnacentral:rRNA from 1 species
CUAGAGUAUAGCCCAGAGAAAUUUGGAUUAAUCCUCUAUAAUAUCUUUUAAUCUCCUGAUUUUAAGAUUAAAGUUUUAACGGUAAAAGAUGGGCAUGCGUCCUAUUAGUUUGUAGGUGAGGUAACGGCUCACCUAGACUACGAUAGGUAGGGGCCCUGAGAGGGGGAUCCCCCACACUGGUACUGAGACACGGACCAGACUCCUACGGGAGGCAGCAGUAAGGAAUAUUGGACAAUGGACGAAAGUCUGAUCCAGCCAUGCCGCGUGCAGGAUGACAGCCCUACGGGUUGUAAACUGCUUUUUACAGGA